rnacentral:rRNA from 1 species
GACGAACCGUGCGAACGUUGUUCGGAAUCACUGGGCUUAAAGGGCGCGUAGGCGGUUUGCCAAGUCAGGGGUGAAAUCCUGCAGCUCAACUGUAGAAGUGCCUUUGAUACUGGCGAACUCGAGGGAGGUAGGGGUCGCUGGAACUUCUGGUGGAGCGGUGAAAUGCGUUGAUAUCAGAUGGAACGCCGGUGGCGAAAGCGAGCGACUGGAUCUCUACUGACGCUGAGGCGCGAAAGCCAGGGGAGCAAACGGG